rfam:Operophtera brumata OBRT01_Sc05414, whole genome shotgun sequence.
GAAAUGGCUCUUUUCAGAGCCACAUUUUAAAGCCACAACAUCGUAU